GACGAACGCUGGCGGCGUGCUUAACACAUGCAAGUCGAACGGAAAGGCCCUGCUUGCAGGGUACUCGAGUGGCGAACGGGUGAGUAACACGUGGGUGAUCUGCCCUGCACUUCGGGAUAAGCCUGGGAAACUGGGUCUAAUACCGGAUAGGAGCCAUUUUUAGUGUGAUGGUUGGAAAGUUUUUUCGGUGUAGGAUGAGCUCGCGGCCUAUCAGCUUAUUGGUGGGGUAAUGGCCUACCAAGGCGGCGACGGGUAGCCGGCCUGGGAGGGUGGACGGCCACAUUGGGACUGGGAUACGGCCCAGACUCCUACGGGAGGCAGCAGUGGGGGAUAUUGCACAAUGGGCGCGAGCCUGAUGCAGCGACGCCGCGUGGGGGAUGACGGCCUUCGGGUUGGAAACUCCUUUCGCUAGGGACGAAGCUGUUUGUGACGGUACCUAGAUAAGAAGCACCGGCUAACUACGUG
rnacentral:rRNA from 1 species